AAAAAAUGAAACCCAGUUUCAAUUAAAAGAAACUAAAAAUAUUUCGAGCUGAAGGGAUCUAAGAACAUUGAACAUGAGAAGUGUCCCCUGUUGGUACCUGACGUAAAGCUGAUGUGGGGGUUGAAGAUGAUGUUCAAUGAUGCGAAGUUCCUCCUCAUGACAGGAUAGAGCUACAUCUAGUUUACCCAUCCUAGAAUUUUCAGUACAUUACCUGGAGCAUGCAGUACACUACCUGGAGCAUGCAGUACAAUACCUGGAGCAUGUAGUCCACUACCCGGAGCAUGCAGUACAAUACCAGAGCAUGCAGUACACUAAUUUGAGUAUGC